UACGGGGGGGGCAAGCGUUGUUCGGAAUUACUGGGCGUAAAGGGCUCGUAGGCGGCCAACUAAGUCGGAUGUGAAAUCCCCAGGCUCAACUUGGGAACUGCAUCCGAUACUGGAUGGCUUGAAUCCGGGAGAGGGAUGCAGAAUUCCAGGUGUAGCGGUGAAAUGCGUAGAUAUCUGGAGGAAUACCGGUGGCGAAGGCGGCAUCCUGGACCGGCAUUGACGCUGAUGAGCGAAAGCCAGGGGAGCAAACAGGAUUAGAAACCCCGGUAGUCC
rnacentral:rRNA from 1 species